GCCGAAUAUAUCGACGAAAAAUCAAACCGUCAAGCUUCGAUCAUUUUGACAUUUGGCUUUGCGGCGUGUGAGAGAAGGAGACCGAAUGGUGAAGUUCAUCUCACCUCUCACUUACUCCAAAUUCGAAUACAUUCGAACAAAGGCAACAAAAUGUCAAAAUGACCCGAACCUCUCUCUGCUGCAGUCCCGCCGGUGCAAUGAAAAAACAAAAAACAUGGACGGACUCCGCUGGUCCCGGAUGAAGGAUUCCCACAUAACCAGGCGAGCAGGAAUUCCGCCAACAGUUUCGCUUCUGUAUGCAGCAGACGUAUCCCUUCCAGACAACUUCCUCAAGGUGCACUUCCCAUACUACGAGCUGUAUCUGACCGAGACGGCCCACCCCGCAUAGAGAUUUACAGUUUGUCUUAAACUCCUAACAAUAAAUUUCAUGUAUCUGUAGCUAUUACCGUAUGGCAAACAGUUGCUUUUUUGUUGAAGAAUAUGAGAUUGAACGCAAUCAACUAUAAAUCACGGACCAUGCAAUCCAUACCAAGUGGUGACAUUAUAUUAUACUGCCCAGAUAUUGUUGAAUUAUAUGGAGACUGUAGCUCUCAAGUAAUGUAUGUCAAACUGUUCGUGCUUAUUCUGUGCAACACACUUACAUACAUGCGUUUUACUAUAUGCUACUGAUAUUUUACAAUAUGAGAAACAGUGGCACGCAUUGGUAUUUGUGAACCAAUGAAAAUCGACUGGUGGCUUUUAAAACAAAACAAAAAAAUGUGGAAGCAGCAAAUUCAAAUUGAAAUUUUGUUUUGAAGCAUUUUUGGUUCGUCUAAUAUCAGUGCACUGGAUCCGUAGUAGCUGUUACAGAUGAGUAUUUUAUCUAACGGAAACAUUGUGUCCACCCAGCUUAUACCUACUGUGCAUUUUUUCUCUUUGUAUUAAGAAACAGUUUCCACCCGGAGGCAUCCAUCGGCGGCCUACAGUUGGACGGUCACAUUACACGGCAUUGAUCCGGUGACCCAAUCAUCCGGACCGAGAUUUGGACAAUUCGGAACGUUCGGAAUGAGGCAUGGGGUGCAUCGUUCAAUUAUGGCAAGUCCUGAAGGAGUGCUGUUUACUAUGUAUGCGUUCAAAGCUGGGACAAUCGAGUGUGGAUGGAGUUUCGUCGAUUCGAUUUCCAAUCAAACUUCUUCCAAGCUAGCGGCAAGUAUGUGAUGUCUACGCGAUUUCAUGAAUAAAAGUAAUUGAUUCUUUGCUUAAUAUUUAAUUUGUUACUUAUUUCUCUCUCGCGGUACUCAUACAAAAUAACAGUACACAAUCAUAUGAUAACAGUACGAUACACAGUUAUUCUACUAUGAAGAACUAUAAAUCACUCGUAAUACAUACAUUGAAGUUUUUUCUCGAUAUGUAUGGUUAAAUUGUACUCUAACCAUUUGCUAUACAGCAAAUCGUCCGGAAACUGGAUAAUAUAUUGACCAUAUUCUUUACUGUAUUGCGAAAAAUUUGUUCGAGAAAACGAGCGAUUUUUUAUGGUAACCAAUCUUAACCGCCUAUUCCACAUACUGUAAAUUGGCGGAUUACCAUUUGUCAAACUGGCAAAUCUGUACCUGGAAUGGUUAGCUUACUGUUAUCUCCGAUAGUUUGAUAAAUGGUUAAAUGAUAAUUGCUAAUGGUCAUCUACAGUAUGAGAAACGUUGCAUUUACAGUUUGUGAUUAUGC